rnacentral:lncRNA from 1 species
AACAUCUGAUUUAAUUCUUGUGUGGAGAGAUCUUUUGGGAAAUGAUUUCUAAAAAGGUGCUAGUAGAGGUUUCAAGGCAUACAAGGAGUGGUGCAACCAGUUCUUGCGAAGAACAAUCAACAGCGCACUUAGGAAGAAAGCUGUAGUACCAUGAUGAAUUGGAAAGGGCCCUGAUCGCUCCCAUGUGGAUCACUGUUGGAGGGCUUCUACUUUGGAGUCUCAUGGAGAUUUCAAGAUUAUCAGUUCAUGAUCUUCAUGAUGGUAUAUGACUUCUGAUCUUCUU